UUUAUGUUCACGAGGGAAGGUUCGCAAUCAGUUGAAGGUAAAAUUGACGAGUCGCCUUACAGGUACGCAAUUUCAAUAUCAUGGAUUAUGGAUAAUGCUUUGAACGUGGAACAAUAGAGCCAAUAUUGCAACAGGUGAGACUCGCUCUCAGAUUGGUGGAUGUAGAAUUAUAUAUUGGAUCCAUGCCGUCAUGGGGUGCUAUUGUGAGAGCUGUGCAGAUUGCUGUAAAAUCACUUGUCGGGUCAUAACUACAAUCAUAUGCGUUCCUAUUUUGUUAGUUAUUGGUUUAUUGGCAAUAGUCCUUGCUAUUGUCACGUGGCCUCUGAAAUGCUGCUGCCCCUGUCUAGCCCCCUGCAUUCAAGGUCUAUUGGAUUUAAUUUUUUACAUUCUAAAAGCACCGUUCAGGCUAAUAAUGUGGUCAGUCGGGAAGGCAACUGACGAAGAUGAUGCUUCCCCCUUACAGGACUCAGAACGUGGCGGAAAUGACUACGGAAGUUCACCAGCAGUCCCUCCCAGUUGAAAUUAACGUAAAUUUAACUUCUAUGUGACGAACAUUGCGUAGGUAACAUCACAUUUACAGACGCCUACAUAUACCGUAUACUGUACUAACAUAGAUAUAGAUGCAUGAAAUAGUCAACUUGCAAAUAGAUUGGCGUAAAUAUUGCCUAAUAUUUGCAUGCUCGAGUUUUGAAAACAGUGUGACGCAACUUAUGAACUUAUUUAUUGGGAACCAGGGGUGGCGCCCCGUCGGGGAGAGUUUCUCCACCCCCUCCCCCACGUCGGGGAGAAAAACAACAAUUCCUCGGGGAAAAAAAGUAUAUGAAAUUUCUACUUCAAAAUCGAUUAAAUAUUUUUCAGGGUCUUCGCCCCCUCAGGAAUACUUUCGAGAGAUUUUGAGCGAUGGCCGACCACGCUCCUUUUUUCGUCCUGGACAUCGCCAUAAAGGUGAUCAGGGUAACUGAACCUGCAUUAUGGUACGUCAUUAGUAACUUACCUGUACAAUUAUCAUACCAAUGUUAUGCUACAUUAUGUACGAUGUACGAUAAUAGGCCUAAUUAAUGACAGCGUGCACAGAUAUUACCUUUAAUCAUUAAAAAGCACGAAAGCUUCAUAGGUGCAAUGGCACGAAAGCUUCAUAUGUGCAACAUGAAACUAAUUUAUCUGGAUCCAAAUCAAUAUUCAUAAUAUAUUUCGUUUUCGUUGAUCACAAUAAAGAGUCGUAAUUUUUACUCACA
rnacentral:misc_RNA from 1 species